UACGUAGGGUGCAAGCGUUGUCCGGAAUUAUUGGGCGUAAAGAGCUCGUAGGCGGUUCGUCGCGUCGGCUGUGAAAACCUGAGGCUCAACCUCAGGCCUGCAGUCGAUACGGGCGGACUUGAGUACUGCAGGGAAGACUGGAAUUCCUGGUGUAGCGGUGAAAUGCGCAGAUAUCAGGAGGAACACCGGUGGCGAAGGCGGGUCUCUGGGCAGUAACUGACGCUGAGGAGCGAAAGCGUGGGGAGCGAACAGG
rnacentral:rRNA from 1 species